rnacentral:lncRNA from 1 species
UUCGGCGGCGGCUUGUAAACCGGAACUGGAGGUGGGUGCUCUAUCUUCGGCGGUGGAAUGACUAUCUUUGGCGGCGGCUUGUGGACUGGAACCGGCGGUGGAUCAACUUUCUUCGGCGGUUUAGGCGGACAAGGCUUCUUCGUUGGUGGUUUGUAGACUGGCACCGGCGGUGGAAGCUCCACCUUCGGCGGCUUAGGCGGACAUGGCUUCUUCGGUGGCUUGUGUACCGGAACUGGAGGUGGGUGCUCUAUCUUUGGCGGUGGCUUGUAAACCGGAACCGAAGGUGGGUGCUCUAUCUUUGGCGGUGGCUUGUAAACCGGAACCGAAGGUGGGUGCUCUAUCUUUGGCGGUGGCUUGUAAACCGGAACUGGAGGUGGGUGCUCUAUCUUUGGCGGUGGCUUGUAAACCGGAACCGGAGGUGGGUGCUCUAUCUUCGGCGGUUUAGGUGGACAAGGCUUCUUAGGAAUAGGCGGUGGAAGCUCCACCUUUGGUGAUGGCUCGUAAAUCGGGACAGGUGGGGGAACCUCUUUCUUUGGCGGUGGAUCGUAAACCGGAACCGGAGGCGGAACCUCUUUCUUUGGCGGUGGCUCGUAAACCGGAACCGGAGGUGGAACCUCCACAGGAGGGCUGAAUUUAGGUGGACAUGGCUUCUUGAGAAACGGUGGAAGUUCCAAAG